GGAGGUGGGACCUGGCGUCUCGGGCCGGUGGGGCCGGGGAGGCUGACGGGGAGGAUUCCCGGUCUGGAGGGGCGCGCCGCGGGAGGAAGCAGACAAUAACGUGAUCAAGCUGUAUGGGACCUCUUUUUUGAAGCAAGAAGGUGAACCCCGGAUGUUAGAGAAAAGUGGACAGGAAGUUAGCCCAGAAGAAGCCUGGGAAGACGAUGUACUGAUAGAGGGAUAACAAGACUUGGAAGGCAA